ACUCAUGGGCGGGAUUUCAAAUUUCCAAAGGCCCUAACAUUUUUAGAUCUGAACAAAACCAUCUCCUCUCCUCUACCCCUCGAUUUCAUGGUUUCCACCGUCUUCUUCCCUUUUCUUUCUGUAAUUAAAGAUUCAAAAUGCAUUGUUCCUCUCAUUAUCUUUCUGUAUCCCAAGCAAAAAAAUAAAAAAAAUUCAGACGUACUCUCUUUAAGCAUCUCAAGCAAAAGAAGAUAGAGAAGAAAUUGAGAGCCCUAAUCUCUGUGUCAGUUGAGUACAAAGGAGGGCAAGAUCCCAUGUCCAGGUACUGCAUGCAGUUGUUGCUGUUAAUUUUAUGGUAGGAUUUUGUUUUUGUGUAUAGAAGCCCUAAAUAUCCAUCACGUAGUUCUGUGUUUGAGACGAAGACGCAAGAUCGUUGUGGGUUCAGUUGAGGAUUGCUGUGUACAUGAUGCAAAGGAAGGUCAAUGAGCAACUUAAAUCGAUUUUAACUGGGUGUGAAUGAGCAAAUGGCGGCUAAAAGAUUGUGAAAGGGAGCUUAAUUAGAGCAUGUAAAGCUAAAGAUGAAAAUGAGAAACAGGAAGCUUGGCUGGGAGAAGUAAAGGGAUUUUGCCUUUCACAGUUGUACCCACGGCUUUUGCAAAAGCAUUGGAUAUCAACUUGAGCAAUGCAUCCCUUGUUUUUAUUUCAGUUGCAUUUGCCACCAUGUGCAAAUCUGCUUCUCCUAUAUUUCUCUUGAUAUUUGCUUUUGCAUUCAGACGGUUCACUCCGGGAUGCAGAAGCUACGUUGGAUCAGUUAAGUUUAUUUGGAAAGAGAAUCACUACUAAUUUGGUGAAUGAACUUGUGGGGAUUGUCAUCGAUGAGAAGUUAUUAGAACUUGUGGAGUUAGCAAUGUCAUCAAACACAUCAGAAACAGUGAAAAGGGCGAGAGAAUUAAUGGACUUGGGAGUUGACCCUAUGGUUUUGAUGUCUCAAAUGGCUACGCUUAUUAUGGAUAUCAUUGCUGGAACAUACCAAGUGGUUGAAGCCAGAUAUGGUGACUCGUUAUUUGGUGGUAGAAGUUAUAUUUUCAGGUUCAUCUGCAUCUGACUGGGUACAAGACAGAGAUUUACCCGAGUGGUUAGAUCAACAUAUCUCUGACACAGAAAACAGUCAGGUUAAAACAACAUAACUGGUUACAUGCUCACACCUGGAGGAUUUUCAUGCCUUUAUAUGGCUCAACCUUUAAAAAAAUUUCCCAUGAGGCGCCUUCUUUUCAUCCAUAAGUGGUUUGCCGGCCAGCUUCUUCCGUGCAACAACACAUGCUUGACAUAAUUUUUUGUUUCUGUUUUUCCCUUUUUUUCUUUUUUUUUGUUGGGCUUAAAUUCUAUUUGCUGUUUAUUAGCGAGGUUGCCUUUGUUUUGGUUUGUCGUAUUCAGAAAGAUUUAGGUUGCUCUACUUGGUGUUUGUUAGUGAGGUUGAAUAGCUUUGGUUUGUUGCAGCCCCGAGGGUCUGCCACUCACUUCACAAGACCCAUAAUUCUGUUUGGGGGGGCAUAUUUAGUUUUAUACAUUGUUUAUAUAUAAUUUAGAGAUGUUACUAAAUUGUAAUGGAUAUAGAAACAACGAUGAAUCUUGUUCAUAUUGGUUUGGGCAUGUGACUGACCUGAGUUUGAAUCUCA